rnacentral:hammerhead_ribozyme from 1 species
ACCCAGCUGACGAGUCCCAAAUAGGAUUAAAUGCGCGUUGUCCUGGAU